rnacentral:rRNA from 1 species
ACCUACGGGACGCAGCAGUGGGGAAUAUUGCACAAUGGGGGAAACCCUGAUGCAGCGACGCCGCGUGAGUGAAGAAGUAUUUCGGUAUGUAAGCUCUAUCUGCAGGAACGAGACAUGACGGUACCUGACUAAGAAGCCCCGGCUAACUACGUGCCAGCAGCCGCGGUAAUACGUAGGGGGCAAGCGUUAUCCGGAAUCACUGGGUGUAAAGGGAGCGUAGACGGCUGAGCAAGCCUGAAGUGAAAGGCCGUGGCCCAACCCCCGGCCUGCUUUGGGAACUGUACGGCUGGAGCGCAGGAGAGGGA